rnacentral:rRNA from 1 species
GACGAACGCUGGCGGCAUGCCUAAUACAUGCAAGUCGAGCGAACAGAUGAAGUGCUUGCACUUCUGACGUUAGCGGCGAACGGGAGAGUAACACGUAAGGAAUCUACCUAUAAGCGGGGAUAACAUUCGGAAACGGGUGCUAAUACCGCAUAAUAUCUUCUUCCGCAUGGAAGAAGAUUGAAAGACGGCUCUGCUGUCACUUAUAGAUGACCUUGCGGUGCAUUAGUUAGUUGGUGGGGUAAUGGCCUACCAAGACAAUGAUGCAUAGCCGACCUGAGAGGGUGAUCGGCCACAUUGGGACUGAGACACGGCCCAAACUCCUACGGGAGGCAGCAGUAGGGAAUCUUCCGCAAUGGGCGAAAGCCUGACGGAGCAAUGCCGCGUGAGUGAAGAAGGCCUUCGGGUCGUAAAACUCUGUUAUAAGAGAAGAACAAAUUGUAGAGUAACUGCUACAGUCUUGACGGUAUCUUAUCAGAAAGCCACGGCUAACUACGUGCCAGCAGCCGCAGUAA